CCUACGGGUGACAGCAGUGAGGAAUAUUGGUCAAUGGACGAGAGUCUGAACCAGCCAAGUAGCGUGAAGGAUGACUGCUCUAUGGGUUGUAAACUUCUUUUAUAUGGGAAUAAAACAGGGUAUGCAUACCCUCUUGUAUGUACCAUAUGAAUAAGGAUCGGCUAACUCCGUGCCAGCAGCCGCGGUAAUACGGAGGAUCCGAGCGUUAUCCGGAUUUAUUGGGUUUAAAGGGAGCGUAGGUGGAUUGUUAAGUCAGUUGUGAAAGUUAGCGGCUCAACCGUAAAAUUGCAGUUGAAACUGGCAGUCUAGAGUGCAGUAGAGGUGGGGGGAAUUCGUGGUGUAGCGGUGAAAUGCUUAGAUAUCACGAAGAACUCCGAUUGCGAAGGCAGCUCACUGGACUGCAACUGACACUGAUGAACGAAAGUGUGGGUAGCAAACAGGAUUAGAUACCCUGGUAGUC
rnacentral:rRNA from 1 species